CCCUUAGAUGUUCUGGGCUGCACGCGCGCUACACUGAAGCUAUCAACACGUUUUCCCUCCCUGAGAAGGGCGGGUAACCUUUUGAAUCAGCUUCGUGGUAGGGAUCGGGGCCUGCAAUUGUUCCCCGUGAACCAGGAAUUCCUAGUAGACGCGAGUCAUAAGCUCGCAUCGAUUAAGUCCCUGCCCUUUGUACACACCGCCCGUCGCUACUACCGAUUGAACGUUUUAGUGAGGCAUUUGGACCGACGCAUCUCAGUUUAACCGCUGGUUUGUGUUGGAAAGACUUCCAAACUUGAGCGUUUAGAGGAAGUAAAAGUCGUAACA
rnacentral:rRNA from 1 species